CUAGUUUCUGUAGAGGAAGUCAGUUAUAAACCCGAGUCUAGAACUGCCAAAUCACCUCGAUGGAAUUGGAAACAUAAGAGAUUCGGUAGAUGCUGGAGAUCCAGAGCAACACACUAAAAGCUUGAGAAACUCAGCAGGUCAGGAAGUAUAACUGGAGCGGAAUAAAUUGUCAAUGUUUCCGGCCGAGACUCUUCAUCAGAACUGGAAAGAAAGAGCAGAAAUCAGAGCACAUACGAUCCGAUCUGCAUCCGUAGUGUGAUGAGUGGAAGACAGCAUUCACUGGCCACAACAAAUACUUUGUGAUGCCUUUCAGACUUUCCAACAGUCCAACAGUUUUCCGAGCCUUCAUUUACAAGAGCCCUUGGGACGUGUUACACAGACUUCUUCCCUGCAAAUCUUGAUGAUGUUAAGGACGAACAUGGUGAAAGGUUUCACCAGGACAUUGCGGUCAUGGAGAAAAGAUACCAGGACGACUGGAAUCCAUCAAUGCUGGUGAAUUAUUGUUGGACACUUAAGCGAGAAGCCUCAGACACUGAGUAUAAAUGAAAAUCAUUAACAAAAUAUCUUUUUCUUUCUUUUUUUUUAAUCUUUUUAUUGAGUUUCAUAUAUAUAUAAGAAAAAACAUAACAUAAUAAUGAAUAGGUUAUAAAUACAAUAGACUUGAAAUUACAUUAGUAAUAGGAUAAUAAUAUCCUAUUAAACAUCAACAAAAAAAGUACAUUAAUCAAUCGAGUCUAUAUAAUUAAAUAUAAAAAAAAACAAAGACAAUCAUCAAAAGAAAAGGAAAAAAAAUUUGAAAAUAUAUAAAAGAGAAUAUAUAUUGAAAAAAACUCUAAACUAAACUAACAUGGGCAAUAAUAACAGUUUAUAAGUAUAUGAUAGUGUCAAAAAAAACUCCAGAACUCCAUACCUGAACAAGAAUAAGAGGAGAGAAGGUCUGAAAAAGGCCAAAUUAAUUCAUAUGAAAAUGUCGAAUGAACGGUCCCCAGGUUUCUUCAAAUUUAAUUGAUGAGUCAAAAAUAGUGCUUCUAAUUUUUUCCAAACUCAGAUAAGAAAUAGUUUGAGAAAACCACUGAGACGUGGUAGGAGGAUUUACUUCUUUCCAGUUUUGUAAUAUAGACCUUCUGGCCAUUAAUGUUACAAAAGCAAUCAUUCGUCUGAUUGGAGGGGAAAACUGAUUACCAUCCUCAUUUGGUAUACCAAAAAUUGCAGUAAUAAAAUGAGGUUGUAAAUCGAUAUUCCAAAUUGAGGAAAUGGCACCAAAUAUGUCCUUCCAAUAGUUAUGUAAAGUGGGACAUGACCAAAACAUGUGGGUCAAUGAAGCCACUUCUAAAUGACAUCUGUCACAUUGAGGGUUAAUAUGAGAAUAGAAUCGAGCAAGCUUAUCUUUAGACAUAUAAGCUCUAUGUACAAUUUUAAAUUGUAUUAAAGCAUGUUUAGCACAUAUAGAAGAGGAAUUAACCAUUUGUAAAUUUUUUUUCCCAUUUAUCUGUUGAUAUAUUGUAUCGAAGUUCUUUUUCCCAUUCUUGUUUAAUUCUAUCUGAUAUUUCUGGUUGUAUCUUCAUAAUCAUGUUAUAAAUAAAAGCUACUAAUCCCUUCUGACAAGGAUUAAAGGUGAAAAUCAAGUCUGAGAAAUCCAAUGGAGUUGAAUUGGGAAAAGAUGGUAGAACUUUAUGUAAGAAAUUUCUAAUUUGUAAGUAUCUAAAAAAAUUAGAUUUAGUUAAUUUAAAUUUGUUGGAGAGUUGGUCAAAAGACAUCAAAGUACCUUCAAAAAAAAAUCACGAAAACAUUUUAUACCUUUCCUUUUCCAUAUGCUAAAAGCUUGAUCUGUCAAUGAAGGUUUGAAAAAAAAGUUAAGUAAAAUAGGGCUAUCAAGAACAAAGUUUUUCAGAAUAAAAAACUUACGAAAUUGAAACCAAAUUCAUAGUGUAUGUUUAAUAACAGGAUUAGAUAUCUGUUUAUUGAAUUUAACUAAAUCAGCAGGAAGAAAAGAACCAAGAACGGAGAAUAUAGAAUAUCCCUUUACCUCACUACAUUCCAAAUUUACCCACUGUGGACACAAUGGUGAGUCCAAAUCUAGUUUCCAAUACGUUAGGUUACGAAUAUUAUUCGCCCAAUAGUAAAAUCUAAAGUUAGGUAAAGCUAAACCACCAUCUUUUUUAGAUUUUUCUAAUUGCCUUUUACUUAACCUGGGGUUUUUAUUUUGCCACACAAAUGAGGAAAUUUUUGAAUCAAUGUUGUCAAAAAAAGAUUUUGGAAUAAAAAUUGGUAAGGCUUGAAAUAAAUAUAAAAAUUUCAGUAAAAUCAUCAUUUUAAUAGCAUUAAUCCGACCAACUAAUGAUAGGAAUAAGGGAGACCAUCUUGUAGUAAAUUGUUGAAUUUGAUGAAGCAUAGGUAAAAAAUUCAGUCUAAAUAAAUCUUUAUAUUUCCUGGUGAUUUUUAUACCUAAAUAGAUAAAGUUAUCAGUAACAACUUUAAAUGGUAUCCUGUCAUUCAAUAAGGUUUGCGCGUUUAAGGGGAAUAAUUCACUCUUAUCUAAGUUUAAUUUAUAUCAUUAUUAAAUGUAGAUUCUAAGAUUCUUACAAAAAUUUUAGCCAUUAGAUUAGAAAAGAUACUAUCACAGAUUAUUUCAGAAGAUCAAACUGGCUUUAUUAGGAAUCGGUAUUCCUUUUUUAAUAUUAGAAAAUUGAUUAAUAUAAUUUAUACUUCAUCACCCACAACCCCAGAAUGUGUUAUCUCAUUAGAUGCUGAAAAAGCUUUUGAUAGAGUUGAAUGGACAUACUUAUUUAAUGCAUUGAGAAACUUUAAUUUUAGUCCUAAUUUUAUAUCAUGGAUUAAAUUAAUAUAUUAUAAACCUGUUGCUUCUGUUCUUACAAAUAAUUAUAGAUCCUCUUUUUUUUAAUUAUCUCGUGGUACGAGACAACAAAAUAUUUUUAACUUAGUUGAACUAUUGCAAAGCAUCAGCACCAUUAUGCAAUUAAACACAUUAUAUUCAAUAACAUUUAAUUUGUUGUUUCUCCAAAUUCCUUUACUUUUUGCUUUAGCUAUAGAACCCUUAGCAUUAGCAUUUCGAGAAUCUAAGGACAUUUCUGGUAUACUAAGGGAAGGUAUGACUCAUAAAAUUUCGUUAUACACUGAUGAUAUUUUGCUUUUUAUCUCUAACACUGAAACUUCUUUCUUUCUUUAAUUUCCCAGUUUAGCUUUUUUUUUUCAGGAUAUAAGCUGAACUUACAUAAAAGUGAGCUAUUUCCUUUAAAUGACCUCAUGUCAUCAAAUGCCAAAUUUCCGUUCCAAGUUGUUACAAGUCAAUUUACAUAUCUAGGUGUAACAAUUACUAAAAACUUCAAGAAUUUAUUUAAAGAAAACUUAAACCCCUUAUUGAAUUAUGUGAAAAAGACACUUACUCAAUGGUCUCCUCUUUCUUUAUCACUAAUUGGCCAAAUUAAUUUGAUUAAAAUUAAGAUUCUUCCUAAAUUUUUGUAUCUUUUUCAGGCUUUACCUAUUUUUAUUCCUAAGACCUACUUUGAUUCUUUAGAUUCAAUUUUAACAUCUUAUAUGUGGAAUAAUAAACAAGCUUGUUUAAGUAAAGUUUACCUACAAGGAAAUAAAGACAUGGGUGGAUUAGCUCUACCCAAUUUUAGGUUUUACUAAUGGGCUGUCAAUAUAAGGAAUAUUACUUUUUGGUCCUAUUAUAUUUAUCGUAAGGAUUGCCCAUCAUGGGUCUCCUUAGAAGUUAAUUCUGUAAAAAAAUUCCUCUAUUGUCUCUCUCUUCUUGGAUCAUACUCUUCUUUUUCAGCAAAUAAAACAACAGAUAACAUAAUUGUUAAGCAAACUUUAAGGAUCUGGUCUCAAUUUAGCGAAUUUUUCAUUAUCCUUAAUUAUUUUUUUAUCCCUUCCACGACUGACAAAAUCUUUAAGGAUUGGGAUGAACUAGGUAUUAAGUGUUUUUGGGACCUGUUUAUCUCAGGACCUCUUGCUUCAUUUGAUCAACUGUCAACUGAAUUUGCACUCCCAAAAACACAUUUUUACAGAUACCUUCAAAUUAGAGAUCUCUUAUGUUUCUAAUUAACUACUUUUCCUAUAGGUCCUGAUAAAAAUUUACUGGACGAUCUUUUAAAUUUAAAGCCUUUUGUUAAUGGUCUAUUACCAGUAUCUAUAACUUGUUGAUUGAUUCUAGACAAGACUUUUUAGAUAAAAUAAAAAAAUGCUUGGGAGGAUGAACUAAAUUGUCAGAUUUCUGAUGAUAGAUGGACUAAAAUUCUUAAAUGGGUUAAUAAAUCAUCUUUCUGUGCUCAUCAUUCUCUUCUACCAUUUGAAGUGGUUCAUAGAGCUUACUUUUCUAAACAAAAGCUGUCCAGUUUUUAUCCGAACAUUUCUCCACUUUGUAAUAAAUGCAACUCUGCUGAUGCCUCUUUAAUUCAUAUGCUUUGGUUUUGCCCUAAAAUUGAAAAGUGUUGGCGGGAAGUAUUCCAUACCGUCUCACAAUUUUUUAGGAUCCAAUUUAACCCAAAUCCCCUUACUGCCUUGUUUGGUAUUAUUGCAAAUGAAGAUAUAACUUUAAAUACUCCUAACCUACAGGUUUUAGUUUUUACCUCUCUUUUAGCAAGGAGAGCAAUCUUGCUUAAAUGGAAGGAGUCUACCCCUCCUACACAUCUUCAAUGGCUACGUAAUAUUAUGUCUUAUUUAAAUUUAGAGAAGAUCCGCUGCUCAGUCUUAAAUUCGAAACAUUCUUUUUAUGAUAUCUGGGGACCUUUCCUCAAUUACUUUUCCAAUUUAUAAAGUUUAACAGUGCACAGACUUUUAUGUAUAUUUUUGUCUUUUCUUCUUAAGGGAAUAUGUUUUUUUUCUAAUUAUCCAUUAUCAUCCAUUGGCUUUUUUCUUUGUUAGUUGGUAGGGGGUUGACUUUUUUUUAUAUAAAAAAAUUAUUUUAUGAUGUAUGACCUAUCUUUAAAUUUUUGAUUACAGAGUGGUAUACUAAGUGAUAAGCUAUAACAUUUUGAUCAAUGUUAUUACAAUAUAUGAAUGUACACAAUUUAUGUUGAGAUGCAUUUAUGUGUUGCACUCUGUAAAUCUUGUUUUUUCUUCUGAAUAAAAAUAUUGUGAAAAGAAAAGAAAGCUGGUUGAAAGCAUGCUUCAAGCAUAUAAAACCAUGAAAUGCAACAUGUCACUAAAGGUUCAUUUUCUGCAUUCCUAUUUAGACUUCAUCCUUGCAAAUCUUGGUGAUGUUAGGGAUGAGCGUGGUCGUUGCGGUCAUGGAGAAAAGAUUCCAGGGCAGCUGGAAUCCAUCAAUGCUGACAAAUUAUUGUUGGACACUUAGGCACUGAGUACAAAUGAAAAUCAUUAACAAAAUAUUUUUAACUUAGUUGAACUAUUGCAAAGCAUCAGCAUUAUUAUGCACUUAAGCACAUUAUAUUCAAUAAAAGUUAAUUUGUUGUUUCUCCAAAUUCCAAAUUCAGACAAGUAGUCUGAAAUUAUAUUU